rnacentral:lncRNA from 1 species
CAGAUUUUGAUGUGGGGGUGAGGGCUGGAGGAACAUGGCUGCUCCCUCGCUGCUGGAAGAUGGCUGCCACGAGUCCCCAGUUGUCAGGCUCCAACCUGACCUACAUUGUUAAUACCCACCACGAGUAAGAAGGGCUGUUACCCCCACACAAAUCUGAUUAGGUGCAAGUUACUUUUUUUUUUUUUUUUUUUUUUUUUCUCCCUGCUGUACGCCCAGGAAAUUUCUGUAUUAGGAAAAGUUGCCUGCUUGGGGGAGGACAAGGCCUCAGGUAUGCUCAUCCCUGCUUAAAAUGGAAGCAGCUCUGCCUCAGCCAGAGCUGUCACCUUGUAAAAUCUGGCAUGGGGUCUUGCAGGCAAGGAGGUGCUCCCAGCAGCACAGAAAUGGGCCAGGGUAAACCAGAUUGUGCCCGUGCAUAUAGGAGCUAUAAUAUUGGGCAGAGGUGAAGCUAGUAGAUUAGUACAGACUGAGCAACCCAUGCCUGUAAUCCUUGCUCCUCUGACAAGUCAGCAGGCCCACUUUAAGCCCUUCUGCAAGAGGUCCAAGGCAAUGUCCCCAUGGCACACUGUAUCCUCUGUCCCUGUCCACUGCAGCAUCUUGCUGGCAGAGGCAGGGUGAGUACACUGCCACCCUGCCGGCACCCUUGCUCAAGCCAUGUGUGAGAGGCAAGGACAGGGAUUUGGCCUGAGGAAAGCUGUACCAAAGCCGUGCCAAAGCUGUGUCCUGCUUCCCUAAUUGAGCAGGAAUUAAGGCAGCAGUGGUGGUGUCACCCCUCCGCCCACCUCAACUGAGAAGCAGGCAUUAGUGGCCACCCAAGCAUUUGCAGCUGGUCGUAGCGGCGCUGAGGAUUCAGGCGACUGCUUCGGUGAAAUGAAAGAAUGAUUUCUGACAGCAGCUGAGACUGCUGUGGUGCCUGGGGAAAGUGUGGUGUUGUCAUCAUGCAGGCAGCCAGCAAGAAAAGAAAAUUUUUCCUCCACCUUCUACAUCUACUCACCCAUCCCCCUGUACUUUUUUGUUUUUUUUUGGUUUUUUUUUUUUUUUUUUGGUACUAGAAAUAUUUCAGGCACAAUUAAAAAGGCGUUAUUAGCAUUUAAUUGGUUUGGAGUCCUCACUGUGAUGUUGAGCCCUGGUGCUGAUGUCAUCCCAGUUGUCAUGGUUACAGGUGAACAAGCCGCUGGAAGUGCAAAAUCAGCGCCGGGCUCCAAGGGGAAGGGAGGAUGGAGGGGGGAACCUGGGGAGGAACCCGAGGCUGGAAAUGAGCGAGCAGAAACAGCUGCCAUCGCCAGCCCUGCCUCCAUUCCCCAUCUUGUGUGA